rnacentral:rRNA from 1 species
AGAGUUUGAUCCUGGCUCAGAACGAACGCUGGCGGCGUGCCUAAUACAUGCAAGUCGUGCGAGAAAGUGGGGGCAACCCCAUGAGUAAAGCGGCAAACGGGUGAGUAACACGUAAGUAACCUACCCCUAAGUCUGGGAUACCCCUGCUAAAGCGGGGCUAUACCGGAUGUUGACCGAUGACCGCACGGUUGUCGGACCAAAGAUGACCUCUACUUGUAAGUCAUCGUUCAGGGAUGGGCUUGCGCACCAUUAGUUAGUUGGCGGGGUAACGGCCCACCAAGGCUAUGAUGGUUAGCCGGCCUGAGAGGGUGUACGGCCACAUUGGGACUGAGAUACGGCCCAGACUCCUACGGGAGGCAGCAGUAGGGAAUUUUGCGCAAUGGGCGAAAGCCUGACGCAGCAACGCCGCGUGAGGGAUGAAGGUCUUCGGAUUGUAAACCUCUGUUGGGUGGGAAGAAACUUUCCGGGAGUAAUUCUCCUGGAGACUGACGGUACCGCCCGAGGAAGCCCCGGCUAACUACGUGCCAGCAGCCGCGGUAAUACGUAGGGGGCAAGCGUUGUUCGGAAUCACUGGGCGUAAAGGGAGCGUAGGCGGGAGUGUAAGUUAGGAGUCUAAUUCACGGGCUUAACCUGUGACCUGCUCCUAAGACUGCACUUCUUGAGUAUGGGAGAGGAUGAUGGAAUUCCAGGUGUAGCGGUGGAAUGCGUAGAUAUCUGGAAGAACACCAGUAGCGAAGGCGGUCAUCUGGCCCAAUACUGACGCUGAGGCUCGAAAGCUAGGGUAGCAAACAGGAUUAGAUACCCUGGUAGUCCUAGCUAUAAACGAUGGACACUAGAUGCUGGGGGAGUCAAUCUUCUCAGUGUCGAAGCUAACGCAUUAAGUGUCCCGCCUGGGGAGUACGCCCGCAAGGGUGAAACUCAAUGGAAUUGACGGGGGCCCGCACAAGCGGUGGAGUAUGUGCUUUAAUUCGAUGCAACGCGAAGAACCUUACCUGGGCUUGACAUGGGAAUGAAAGCUUCCAGAGAUGGGGGCCCUUCCGCAAGGAACAUUCUACACAGGUGCUGCAUGGUUGUCGUCAGCUCGUGUCGUGAGAUGUUGGGUUAAGUCCCGCAACGAGCGCAACCCUCGUCCUUAGUUGCCAUCAGGUAAUGCUGGGAACUCUAAGGAGACUGCCUGGUUUUAACCAGGAGGAAGGCGGGGAUGACGUCAAAUCAUCAUGGCUCUUACGUCCAGGGCUAGACACGUACUACAACGGUCGGUACAAUGGGACGCGACAUCGCGAGAUGGAGCAAAUCCCCGAAAACCGGCCUCAGUUCAGAUUGGAGUCUGCAAUUCGACUCCAUGAAGGCGGAAUCGCUAGUAAUCGUGGAUCAGCAUGCCACGGUGAAUACGUUCCCGGGCCUUGUACACACCGCCCGUCAAGCCACGAAAGAUGGAAGUACCCAAAGUCAUUCUUCUAACCGCAAGGGGGAAGGUGCCUAAGGUAAGACCAUUGAUUGGGGCUAAGUCGUAACAAGGUA